rnacentral:rRNA from 1 species
GACGUAGGGCGCGAGCGUUGUCCGGAUUUAUUGGGCGUAAAGAGCUCGUAGGCGGCUUGUCGCGUCGAAUGUGAAAACCUGCAGCUCAACCUCAGGCCUGCAGUCGAUACGAGCAGACUAGAGUGUUGCAGGGGAGACUGGAAUUCCUGGUGUAGCGGUGAAAUGCGCAGAUAUCAGGAGGAACACCGAUGGCGAAGGCAGGUCUCUGGGCCACUACUGACGCUGAGAAGCGAAAGCAUGGGGAGCGAACAGG